AGUGAACGCUGGCGGUAGGCCUAACACAUGCAAGUCGAACGGCAGCACAGUAAGAGCUUGCUCUUACGGGUGGCGAGUGGCGGACGGGUGAGGAAUACAUCGGAAUCUACUUUUUCGUGGGGGAUAACGUAGGGAAACUUACGCUAAUACCGCAUACGACCUACGGGUGAAAGCAGGGGAUCUUCGGACCUUGCGCGAUUGAAUGAGCCGAUGUCGGAUUAGCUAGUUGGCGGGGUAAAGGCCCACCAAGGCGACGAUCCGUAGCUGGUCUGAGAGGAUGAUCAGCCACACUGGAACUGAGACACGGUCCAGACUCCUACGGGAGGCAGCAGUGGGGAAUAUUGGACAAUGGGCGCAAGCCUGAUCCAGCCAUACCGCGUGGUGAAGAAGGCCUUCGGGUUGUAAAGCCCUUUUGUUGGGAAAGAAAAGCAGCAGGUUAAUAUCCCGCUGUUCUGACGGUACCCAAAGAAUAAGCACCGGCUAACUUCGUG
rnacentral:rRNA from 1 species